UUGGAGCACCGAUCCUUGUUUGAUCACCAAAGUUAAGCAACGUCGAUCCUGGUCAGUACUUAGAUGGGUGACCGCUUCAGAAUACCGCGUGAUGUAA